GGCUGGAGAUGUGCUGGAAUCAGCCCCAGCAGAAGGUGCCUGAGCUCCUCCACAGCGUGGGAGAGGCGGCUGCAGCCUCCCAGAGCCAGGAAUAUCCCUGGAGAAGCUUCCCAGGAGCUGUGCAGUGCUGGGAACAGCCCAGGUCACUGCUUUGGUUAUUUAUUUAACUCCAACAAAUCUUUUCACCGCCCAGAGCACGGCAGUAGGGGCUAAACAGCUCCAAGUUUUUCACGUUUUUGUCAUUGCAGUGUUUUCAUCCCAGAAUUUACAUUUCAUGUUGGACUACCCAGUGACAGAAAGGAGUGUCCUGGGCCUCUGCUCCCUGCCAUGGCCAAAGGGCCACGUUUCACCCUUCUGAUUUCCCAUUUGGGUGGCAAAAAGCUGCUGUGUCAUCCCCUGGGCCAGCCCCUCUGCCAGGAGGUUUGAUUGGAUUCUGCAGCUGCUUCUGGACUUUGAAAUGGGGUCAUGCCAGGAGGGGAGGAAGUCAGGUGGUUCUUCUGUUUAUUUAUUUAAUAAACAGCCCUCCAAGCCUCA